UCGGGAAUUUUGGGCAAUGGGGGAAACCCUGACCCAGCAACGCCGCGUGAAGGAUGAAGUAUUUCGGUAUGUAAACUUCGAAAGAAUAGGAAGAAUAAAUGACAGUACUAUUUAUAAGGUCCGGCUAACUACGUGCCAGCAGCCGCGGUAAUACGUAGGGACCAAGCGUUGUUCGGAUUUACUGGGCGUAAAGGGCGCGUAGGCGGCAUGACAAGUCACUUGUGAAAUCUCUGGGCUUAACCCAGAACGGCCAAGUGAUACUGUCGCGCUAGAGUGCAGAAGGGGCAAUCGGAAUUCUUGGUGUAGCGGUGAAAUGCGUAGAUAUCAAGAGGAACACCUGAGGUGAAGACGGGUUGCUGGGCUGACACUGACGCUGAGGCGCGAAAGCCAGGGGAGCAAACGGGAUUAGAUACCCACGUAGUCCCUGAGCGGGCUGGCAAGGCGCAU
rnacentral:rRNA from 1 species